GAUGAACGCUGGCGGCGUGCCUAAUACAUGCAAGUCGAGCGAAUGGAUUAAGAGCUUGCUCUUAUGAAGUUAGCGGCGGACGGGUGAGUAACACGUGGGUAACCUGCCCAUAAGACUGGGAUAACUCCGGGAAACCGGGGCUAAUACCGGAUAACAUUUUGAACCGCAUGGUUCGAAAUUGAUAGGCGGCUUCGGCUGUCACUUAUGGAUGGACCCGCGUCGCAUUAGCGAGUUGGUGAGGUAACGGCUCACCAAGGCAACGAUGCGUAGCCGACCUGGGAGGGUGAUCGGCCACCCUGGGACGGAGACACGGCCCAGACUCCUACGGGAGGCAGCAGUAGGGAAUCUUCCGCAAUGGACGAAAGUCUGACGGAGCAACGCCGCGUGAGUGAUGAAGGCUUUCGGGUCGUAAAACUCUGUUGUUAGGGAAGAACAAGUGCUAGUUGAAUAAGCUGGCACCUUGACGGUACCUAACCAGAAAGCCACGGCUAACUACGUGCCAGCCGCCGCUGUAA
rnacentral:rRNA from 1 species